rnacentral:misc_RNA from 1 species
UUUUGAUCAUCAUCCACUUUCAAUUCCUGUUUCAUUUUUCAAGUACUUGAAGGGACAAAAUUGUGAGAGAGCUGUAUUGAGAGGGCGUGCUGGGAAGAUUUGGCCUGUGAAGAUCAACGGUAGGAGUUUUGAAGAUGGUUGGAAAGAGUUUGUUCAAGACCAUGACUUGCAUGUUGGUGAUUUCUUGGUGUUUAGACAUGAAGGGGAUAUGGUUUUUGAUGUCAUGGUGUUUGAACCAAGUGCCUG